rnacentral:rRNA from 1 species
AGCGAACGCUGGCGGCAGGCCUAACACAUGCAAGUCGAACGAACUCUUCGGAGUUAGUGGCGGACGGGUGAGUAACACGUGGGAACGUGCCUUUAGGUUCGGAAUAACUCAGGGAAACUUGUGCUAAUACCGAAUGUGCCCUUCGGGGGAAAGAUUUAUCGCCUUUAGAGCGGCCCGCGUCUGAUUAGCUAGUUGGUGAGGUAAAGGCUCACCAAGGCGACGAUCAGUAGCUGGUCUGAGAGGAUGAUCAGCCACAUUGGGACUGAGACACGGCCCAAACUCCUACGGGAGGCAGCAGUGGGGAGUCUUGCGCAAUGGGCGAAAGCCUGACGCAGCCAUGCCGCGUGAAUGAUGAAGGUCUUGGGAUUGUAAAAUUCUUUCACCGGGGACGAUAAUGACGGUACCCGGAGAAGAAGCCCCGGCUAACUUCGUGCCAGCCGCCGCUGUAA